rnacentral:rRNA from 1 species
UACAGAGGUGGCAAGCGUUGUUCGGAAUUACUGGGCGUAAAGGGCGAGUAGGUGGCCAUCUAAGUCAGACGUGAAAUCCCCCGGCUUAACCUGGGAACUGCGUCUGAUACUGGACGGCUAGAGUAUGGGAGAGGGAUGUAGAAUUCCAGGUGUAGCGGUGAAAUGCGUAGAUAUCGGGAGGAACACCAGUGGCGAAGGCGGAUUUCUGGUCUGCUCUUGACGCUGAGGCGCGAAAGCUAGGGUAGCAAACGGG